UUAUCGUAGAUCUCCUUCAAGACCCCUCUCUUGAUCAGCUCCUCUCUGCUCUGCCUCAUCGAAAUCUUCCUUUCCAGAGCUGCAAGCAAGAGCCAGAGAGAGAGGCAAAUGAGAACGAUAACCAUCAUCUUUCUCCUCACUCCCAAAGGACCCACAUGGUAACAGAUACUGCGAUCUACUAAAAGAGCCCAUGAGUUAUGUUUUGCUAAUGAUGCGCUAUGUGGAGAGGUGGUCCAGAGACGUUCCCUGGCCUCUUCGGCCUAACGCUGAGCUGCUCAGAGACUCACAGCACAAGUGUAAGAGGAGAGAUCCCAAUGUUUCUGUUUUCUCCCCAGGACAUCACACUGUUGUGAGGAUAAUGCUAUGCUAUAUGGAAA
rnacentral:lncRNA from 1 species